AUGAACGCUGGCGGCGUGCCUAAUACAUGCAAGUCGAGCGAACAGACGAGGAGCUUGCUCCUCUGACGUUAGCGGCGGACGGGUGAGUAACACGUGGAUAACCUACCUAUAAGACUGGGAUAACUUCGGGAAACCGGAGCUAAUACCGGAUAAUAUAUUGAACCGCAUGGUUCAAUAGUGAAAGACGGUUUUGCUGUCACUUAUAGAUGGAUCCGCGCCGCAUUAGCUAGUUGGUAAGGUAACGGCUUACCAAGGCGACGAUGCGUAGCCGACCUGAGAGGGGGAUCGGCCACACUGGAACUGAGACACGGUCCAGACUCCUACGGGAGGCAGCAGUAGGGAAUCUUCCGCAACGGGCGAAAGCCUGACGGAGCAACGCCGCGUGAGUGAUGAAGGUCUUCGGAUCGUAAAACUCUGUUAUUAGGGAAGAACAAAUGUGUAAGUAACUAUGCACGUCUUGACGGUACCUAAUCAGAAAGCCACGGCUAACUACGUG
rnacentral:rRNA from 1 species